UGCCAGCAGCCGCGGUAAUACAGAGGGUGCAAGCGUUGUUCGGAAUUAUUGGGCGUAAAGCGCGUGUAGGCGGCUUUGCAAGUCGGGUGUGAAAUCCCUCGGCUCAACCGAGGAAGUGCGCCCGAAACUGCAGAGCUUGAGUACCGGAGAGGAUGGUGGAAUUCCCCAAGUAGAGGUGAAAUUCGUAGAUAUGGGGAGGAACACCGGUGGCGAAGGCGACCAUCUGGACGGAUACUGACGCUGAGACGCGAAAGCGUGGGUAGCAAACAGGAUUAGAUACCCUGGUAGUCCACGCCGUAAACGAUGAGAACUAGGUGUUGUGGGUGUUGACCCCCGCAGUGCCGUAGCUAACGCAUUAAGUUCUCCGCCUGGGAAGUACGGCCGCAAGGCUAAAACUCAAAGGAAUUGACGGGGGCCCGCACAAGC
rnacentral:rRNA from 1 species